GGGGACGUCGUCUAGCUUGGUCUAGGAUUGGGCCCUUGGGAGGCUCAGAGUUUAAACGAGCAAACCUGGGUUCAAAUCCCAGCGUCCCCA
rnacentral:tRNA from 1 species